rnacentral:lncRNA from 1 species
CGUCCGCGUAACAGAUGAAAUUUCAAAGCAGAAGGUAUUAUAAUGCCAGUUUUGGGGCCCUUGAAUUUGAAAAUCAAAAAAGUAUUAAAAAAUUUACUAAAUGAUGUUCUUCAAAUAUUAAUAAGACAUUAUCUCUUGGACAGCAGAAUAUUUUAUUCAUUUCGAAGCCUUUUAUAGCUUACUUUAUGGUAUGGGUUUUACACAUUGUUUUUGCAAGGUCGAACGAGAACAUAUAGCUGCUUACAUCUACCCCAAUUGGUCUAUUGCGGAUAUUUGUCUCGUUGAUAUAUACCGCAUCUUUUUAUUUGGAUAUUUAUGUUGAUCUAUUAGCUUGUUUGAUAGUUUAGUGUUCGAUUCGAUUCCUUGCUAAUAUGAUACAUAUAACGUUUAUCGGCGUUUUGGAGCAUUUCUAUAGUAGAAAUUUAUUGAAUAAAAGUUAAAAGAAAAAAAUAUAAAGAUUUUGAUUGGUUAUAUAUUGGUCUUGUUGCAGGUAUUUUUCUAAGUUGGCAUUUAAAACUACAAAAAAAAAUAAACAUACGUUUGCCUUUUUUACAAGAUCUAACUCCGUCACCCUGUUCUAUGUUUUUUUUUUCUUUUUUAUCGCUGACUAUGCGGUAUUGGUUUUACUAAUUGUUGAAGGCCGUACGGUGAACUAUAGUCGUCAAUUUUUGCGCAUUAUGGUCUCUUUUGGAGAGUUGUCUCAUUGGCAAUCAUACCACUUCUUCUUAAUUUUUUUAUAUAUACAGACAUCUUGCAUAUAAAAAAUGAACAAAGAUAUGCAAAAUGUCCUUGCAUUUGGUUAAUUGUAAUUAAAAUAACACAUUUGGCCUCUAUAAUGAAAACUACGUGAUAUUAAAUUAACUACAUUGUUUUGAUGGUUUUUUGGCCUGUUAUUAAUUUUACGGAUGAAGAGAUAUUUUCAUAUCCAACUAAACGGGAGGUUAUAUGAUAAAGUGAUACCUCAAAAAUAACGUGAUUUGAUAUUGUGACAUUUAAAUUGGAUGUUCAUUGGGUCAAUGCUGACUACCAAAGGUCACGAUGGAGUAAUAUUUUAUUCAUUCUCCUUGGCAAGGGCUUGGUUAUUUUCGAAUUUCACGAUGUCAUCUUG